rnacentral:rRNA from 1 species
UACGUAGGGGGGCAAGCGUUGUCCGGAUUUAUUGGGCGUAAAGAGCGUGUAGGCGGCCAGGUAGGUCUGCUGUGAAAACUCGAGGCUCAACCUCGAGACGUCGGUUGAAACCGUAUGGCUAGAGUCCGGAAGAGGAGAGUGGAAUUCCCGGUGUAGCGGUGAAAUGCGCAGAUAUCGGGGAAGAACACCCGUGGCGAAGGCGGCUCUCUGGGACGGUACUGACGCUGAGACGCGAAAGCGUGGGGGAGCGAACAGG